AUGGGCGCAAGCCUGAUGCAGCCAUGCCGCGUGUGUGAAGAAGGCCUUCGGGUUGUAAAGCACUUUCAGUCGUGAGGAAGGUAGUGUAGUUAAUAGCUGCAUUAUUUGACGUUAGCGACAGAAGAAGCACCGGCUAACUCCGUGCCAGCAGCCGCGGUAAUACGGAGGGUGCGAGCGUUAAUCGGAAUUACUGGGCGUAAAGCGCAUGCAGGUGGUUUGUUAAGUCAGAUGUGAAAGCCCGGGGCUCAACCUCGGAAUUGCAUUUGAAACUGGCAGACUAGAGUACUGUAGAGGGGGGUAGAAUUUCAGGUGUAGCGGUGAAAUGCGUAGAGAUCUGAAGGAAUACCGGUGGCGAAGGCG
rnacentral:rRNA from 1 species